rnacentral:misc_RNA from 1 species
AACCAUAGAAACCUGCGGAGUACCUGCGGAAGGAUCAUUACAGAGUUGCAAAACUCCCUAAACCAUUGUGAACGUUACCUAAACCGUUGCUUCGGCGGGCGGCCCGGGUCCUUCCCGGCGCCCCUCGGCCCUCGCGGGCGCCCGCCGGAGGUAAACCAAACUAUUGCAUUGUAUGGCCUCUCUGAGUCCUCUGUACUGAAUAAGUCAAAACUUUUAACAAUGGAUCUCAGAUCGGAAGAG